rnacentral:misc_RNA from 1 species
GAUGAAGAACGCAGCGAAAUGCGAUAAGUAAUGUGAAUUGCAGAAUUCAGUGAAUCAUCGAAUCUUUGAACGCAUCUUGCGCUCCUUGGUAUUCUGAGGAGCAUGCCUGUUUGAGUGUCAUUAAAUUCUCAACUACACUGACUUUGAAUUGGUGUGGCUUGGAUUUGGGGGGAAAAUUGUUGUGGGCUUUUUGUUUAGUCUGCUCCCCUGAAAUUGAUUAGCGGUACCUUUGUGGAACUGUCUACAGGUGUGAUAAUUAUCUACAUCUUAGACAUCUGCUGGAAUGCUGCUUUCUAAACCUUACUUGUAUUGACAAUCUUGACCUCAAAUCAGGUAGGACUACCCGCUGAACUUAAGCAUAUCAAUAAGCGGAGGA